rnacentral:rRNA from 1 species
AGGAAUUGGCGGGGGAGCACUACAACGGGUGGAGCCUGCGGUUUAAUUGGAUUCAACGCCGGAAAGCUUACCGGAUCAGACAGCAAUAUGAAGGUCAAGCUAAAGACUUUACCGAAUUCGCUGAGAGGAGGUGCAUGGCCGUCGUCAGUUCGUAUCGUGAGACAUCCUGUUAAGUCAGGCAACGAGCAAGACCCGUGCCCACAGUUGCCAGCAUACCCUCCGGGGUGAUGGGCACACUGUGGGGACCGCCGCUGCUAAAGCGGAGGAAGGUGCGGGCUACGGUAGGUCAGUAUGCCCCGAAUCAUCCGGGCUACACGCGGGCUACAAUGGUUGGGACAAUGGGCACCUACACCGAGAGGUGAUGGUAAUCUCCUAAACCCAGCCUUAGUUCGGAUUGAGGGCUGCAACUCGCCCUCAUGAAGCCGGAAUCCGUAGUAAUCGCGUAUCAAUAUCACGCGGUGAAUACGUCCCUGCUCCUUGCACACACCGCCCGUCAAACCAUGCGAGUGGGGUUUAUGUGAGGGCGUGGUUUUUGCCACGUUCGAACAUAGGUUCCGCAAGGGGGGUUAAGUCGUAACAAGGUAGCCUCAGUCAGUCAA